CCUGAGGAAAGUCCUGCAGCAGCUGGCAGAGGAGCUGAGGGCAGAAUAGAUGGAGGGGAAAGGGGCCGCAGUAGGCGGCACGAGGUGGGCAGCAGCGGAAGCAACCACUGCAACAGCAGCAGACACGGACACGGAGGCAGUGCCGGAACCAAACGUCGGACAGUUGAAAUGCCACAAGCCCGUGUGUGGUAACUGUGCGAGGAGAGCGGAGGCAAAAGGGUUAACAAGUGCUCAGCAUCUCUGGGAACUGGGAGCAAGACUGUUGGAAAACCAUUUCAGAGACUGGGCUGAGAAGAGAGGAAGAGAGAGGAAAUCUGGAUUUAAAGGUGAUGAGAGAUGAAGGUGGGGAAGAAAGUGGCUGCAGGAAAAUGUCAACUCAAAAAGAGGGAAAAGAUGAGCUGGAAGGAGAUGAAGGGCAGAAUAUGUAAAAGCAAACGUCAAAUGAAGAGGUUAUAUAUGAGCCCUGGACAGCUCUGACAGUAUAGCUGGUAAAGACCAGGAGAACUGGAUCUGUGAUGGCCCAGAGAAAGGACAGUGUGUUUGGAAGAAAGACAAGAAAG